rnacentral:lncRNA from 1 species
UGGACACAAUGCAGUUUGUGAAGGAACUACGUGAAAUCACUUGUGCUCACAAUAUGAAUGGAGAAUAAUUGUCUAUAAGUUUCCAAUUUUUUUUGCAUGGUUCUACUUCAUAAUGCUAAGAUAGUUUACAAUGUAAAUUAAUCUUUGCUAAUUAUUUUUGUGCACUGAAGCAGUCCUUCCAACUUUGAUCAGAGCUAACAAUGACUGGGUACCUAUUCUGAGCCAGGCACCAUGCUAAGUGCUACCUAUCUCUGGCUAAGUCCUUGAGGCUACCCUCAGAGUUCUCAUUUUAAAAAGGAGAGAACAGAGUAGAGGUUCCCUUCCAUUUCCUGGAUUGAUAAAUAUGGGUUUGACACGUUCUUUCGAUUUGGGUUUUCACCUGAAUUCCAACUGAAGCACUAUAAUCUAAUACUUGAAACCCAUGGCAUCUUGGGACAAAAAUGUAAAUAUUUCCAUCUUCUAGUAAUUCAGCCUCUCUCUCUCUCUUACCCCAUCUACAAUUUCUGCUUACUUCAAUAAGCACCUGGUGACAUUUCUCCUAAUUUGCCUGUUGUUUGGAUCUUCCUUUUUUCUUCAUCGAAGAGCUUAGAAUCACUGCACAGCAAUUGGUUCUCCAGUGCUAGCCGGAUCGCUCAAAAGGUAUAUCCCUGCCUGGUGGAUUUUCGAUUGAAAUAAAAUAAGAUGACAAGAAAGUACAGGGAAGAUGAAUGGCUUGAGCUGAUGGGCAGCAUUUGGAAUUGGGUUUUGUUUUCUUCGAGAACUGCCCUGUCAUUUUUCUUCGUCUUCUCCUGUCCCUGCUGCGUCUGUCUAGGGGAUGUCUUUUAAAGUGAAAAAUUGAGUAAUAGCUUCAUAAGAAGUCCUGAGAAAAUGCCUCCUGGAUCCCAACUUAGCCUCAAUUCACAUGACCCGCUCCAUGGAGUAAUGUGCUUUUUUUCUCUUUUAUUCAAUUAGGCCUCAAUUAUGACCCAGGAAAUCAGCCUCUGGCCUAAAUGGGAACAGCAAGCAGAACAAGCCAAUUGCCACCGGCAGCCUAUUCCAUUUGAAAACAGUAGCAUCAACUGCAGAUUGGUGAAAAUCCGGCUGCAAGUUCCCAUCUGCCUUCAGGUACGAAAAGAGGUAAAAGAGGCACUUUGA